rnacentral:snRNA from 1 species
GUGCCCGCUUCGAGAGCACAUACACUAAAAAUUGGAACAAUACAGAGUAGCACGGGCCCUGCACAAGGAUGACACGCAAAUUCAUGAAGCGUUCCAUAGAAAG